UACGGGGGGUGCAAGCGUUGUCCGGAAUUACUGGGCGUAAAGGGCGCGUAGGCGGACAGUUUAGUCAGAGGUGAAAGCCCAGGGCUCAACCUUGGAAUAGCCUUUGAUACUGGCUGUCUUGAGUUCGGGAGAGGUGAGUGGAAUGCCGAGUGUAGAGGUGAAAUUCGUAGAUAUUCGGCGGAACACCAGUGGCGAAGGCGACUCACUGGCCCGAUACUGACGCUGAGGCGCGAAAGCGUGGGGAGCAAACAGG
rnacentral:rRNA from 1 species